AACGAACGCUGGCGGCAUGCCUAACACAUGCAAGUCGAACGAAGUCUUCGGACUUAGUGGCGCACGGGUGCGUAACGCGUGGGAAUCUGCCCUUGGGUGCGGAAUAACUUCUCGAAAGGGAUGCUAAUACCGCAUAAUGUCGUAAGACCAAAGAUUUAUCGCCCAAAGGGAUGAGCCCGCGUAAGAUUAGCUAGUUGGUGGGGUAAAAGCCUUACCAAGGCGACGAUCUUUAGCUGGUCUGAGAGGAUGAUCAGCCACACUGGGACUGAGACACGGCCCAGACUCCUACGGGAGGCAACAGUGGGGAAUAUUGGA
rnacentral:rRNA from 1 species